rnacentral:rRNA from 1 species
GACGAACGCUGGCGGCGUGCUUAACACAUGCAAGUCGAACGGAAAGGCCCGGCUUUUGUGGGGUUCUCGAGUGGCGAACGGGGGAGUAACACGUGAGUAACCUGCCCUUGACUGUGGGAUAACUUCAGGAAACUGGGGCUAAUACCGGAUAGGAGCUCCUGCUGCACGGGGGGGGUAGGAAAGUUUCGGCGGUUGGGGAUGGACUCGCGGCUUAUCAGCUUGUUGGUGGGGUAGUGGCUUACAAAGUCUUUGACGGGUAGCCGGCCUGAGAGGGUGACCGGCGACCUUGGGACUGAGGUACGGCCCAGACUCCUACGGGAGGCAGCAGUGGGGAACAUUGCGCAGUGAGCGGACGCCUGAUACGGCGGCGCCGCGUGCGUAAUGCCGGCCUUCGGGUUGUGAACCGCUUUCGCCUGUGACGAAGCGUGAGUGACGGUAAUGGGUAAAGAAGCACCGGCUAACUACGUG